GACGAACGCUGGCGGCGCGCUUAACACAUGCAAGUCGAACGAGAAGGCGUAGCAAUACGCUUGUAAAGUGGCGAACGGGUGAGGAAUACAUGGGUAACCUACCCUCGAGUGGGGGAUAACCCGCCGAAAGGCGGGCUAAUACCGCGUACGCUUCCGAUCUUGCGGGAUCGGAAGGAAAGCUGUCCCAAGGGGAUGGCGCUCAAGGAUGGGUCUCAUGUCCUAUCAGCUUGUUGGUAGGGUAAUGGCCUACCAAGGCAUCGACGGGUAGCUGGUCUGAGAGGACGAUCAGCCACACUGGCACUGCGACACGGGCCAGACUCCUACGGGAGGCAGCAGUGAGGAAUAUUGCGCAAUGGGCGAAAGCCUGACGCAGCGACGCCGCGUGGGGGAUGAAGGUCUUCGGAUUGUAAACCCCUUUCGGGAGGGAAGACGGCCUUAGACAACUAAGGCGGACGGUACCUCCAGAAGCAGCCACGGCUAACUUCGUGCCAGCAGCCGCGGUAAC
rnacentral:rRNA from 1 species